GACGAACGCUGGCGGCGUGCUUAACACAUGCAAGUCGAACGGAAAGACGCGGGUAGGGCUACUCGCGUGUCGAGCGCGGGAGUGUCACGCAAGUGACCUGCCCCGGACUUCGGGAUUACUUUAGCAAACGGGACCCAAAUCCCGCAUGGGAUCCUAGCUUGAAAGCGGGGGUUCUACAGCUCCCGCGGGUUUGGAUGGACCCGCGGCAGAUCAGCUAGUUGGUGGGGUAACGGCUUACCAAGCCGACGAUCGGUAGCCGGCCUGAGAGGGCGACCGGCCACACAGGGGCUGAGCGGCGACCCAGACACCGACAGGCGGCAGCGGUGGGGAAGGUUGGACAAUGUGGGGAAGCCUGAUCCAGCGGCGCCGCGUGGAUGAAGAAGGGCUGCGGGUGGUAAAAUGCUUUUCGAGGGGAAGAACAGUUUCAGGAGAAGCGAUGCGGGUGAUGACGGUACCGGAAGAAGAAGCACCGGCUAACUACGUG
rnacentral:rRNA from 1 species